UGGGUUUCGAGGAGUUUAAAAGCCUUCGGAUUUUCUAGGAUUGGGCUCUUUUGGUGUACUUUCUCGUACGGUUAGUCAACAUCGGUUUUGAAUGUCAUAAAAUGACCGGAGGAAUGUGGCUUCGAUCUCGUAUCGAAGUGUUAUAACCUUUGGUAGAUGUGAUGUUCGAGACCGAGGAUUGCAACGGAUACCCUUCUGGGCUAUUCGUCUGAUCUCUGAUACGUUGCCUUGAUGUCGAAAGCGUGCUUAUGAUGUUAGGGUAUUACGGUCAAAAGGUUAGAACGGAUUAAA
rnacentral:rRNA from 1 species